UACGGAGGGUGCAAGCGUUAUCCGGAUUCAUUGGGUUUAAAGGGUGCGCAGGUUGGAAAGUAAGUCAGUGGUGAAAUACUGCCGCUCAACGGUAGAACUGCCAUUGAUACUGCUUUUCUUGAGUAUGGUUGAGGUAGGUGGAAUGCGUUGUGUAGCGGUGAAAUGCAUAGAUAUGACACAGAACGCCGAUUGCGAAGGCAACUUACUAAGCCAUUACUGACGCUGAGGCACGAAAGCGUGGGUAUCGAACAGGAUUAGAUACCCUGGUAGUCCACGCCGUAAACGAUGUUCACUCGCUGUUGGCGAUACACAGUAAGCGGCUGAGCGAAAGCAUUAAGUGAACCACCUGGGGAGUACGAUCGCAAGGUUGAA
rnacentral:rRNA from 1 species